rnacentral:rRNA from 1 species
AUACGGAGGGUGCAAGCGUUACUGGGAAUCACUGGGCGUAAAGCGCGCGCAGGCGGUCUUUUAAGUUGGAUGGGAAAGCCUACGGCUCAACCGUAGAACUGCAUCCAAAACUAUUAGACUAGAGUGUGGGAGAGGAAGAUGGAAUUAGUUGUGUAGGGGUAAAAUCCGUAGAGAUAACUAGGAAUACCAAAAGCGAAGGCAAUCUUCUGGAACACUACUGACGCUGAGGCGCGAAAGCGUGGGGAGCAAACAGGAUUAGAAACCCUUGUAGUCC